CCUCAAACAACCACACCAUCUCAACAACCAAUAUAGGUGUAAUGGCACUGUCGCAUACCUGAAGCAGGACGUGUUCACAGUUAAAUCGUUUUUUACUGUUUGGAAAUUGUUUUCAGUCAACUCUAUGUUUUAGAGAGAGACCCUCUAUGUCUGUUGGCAUUGCCAUUGCUCAGGUGUAGACUCUAAGUCACGUGAACUCCAGUUCAAAGUUCAGAACAUGGAAAGAUGGAGACUGUAGUAGGGUAGUCUUUUUUAAAGGACUACAUAUGUGAAUAAGACAAUGAUGGAACAACUGGCUGAAGGAAGCAUCCAGAACAGGUGACACCAGACUUUAAAGGCUGACAGAGAUAGUCCCAUAAGAAAAGAGGAUGAGGUAAAAGUCCUAAACGUCGUCUGUGGUGAGCACCUUCCGCCUAACCCCCCAUUUGUGAAAAGUAGUUCCUCCCUGCCUCCUGCCCUUUGUGUAGAUUUUCCACCCCACCCAGUAGUUAAAGAAUACCAGUGAAAUGACUGUUGCAGUAAGAGCCACUUCCUCUUCCCCUCCCCCAGUCAGAGCUGAAUCUGGGCCUUUGUUGGCUCGUGAUUGGUCCAGCGGCCCUACUGUACCUGCGUGGCAUAUUGUGCAGCUGACACCUGAGAUCUGUGUGAGAAAAAUAAACACAACUACCUCUAUGGCUCUCCUGCUCUCACUUUCUCUUUAUUUCUCUCUCUCUCCUCUUCUCCAGUGAAAUCUGGUGGCAUUAGCUGAAUCUGAUUAUUGCAUUUAAACUAAAAUGAGAGGUUGAUUCACUAUUGUUGAAGUUGUUGUUUUUUUCAUUACUCUCAACCAGUUAUAACUCUCAACCUAUUGCCCUAUUCAACACCAUUAUGAUUGUUAAGGUAAAACAAAGGUAUACAAAGAAACAGAGUUCUCAAACUGUGUGUUCUGUAACAAGAGGUUGGCUGUACAAAUGAGUGGAAAGUGGACACAAAAGCAUUAAGUGAUGGAGGUGUUUGUCAAGGGUUGUUCUUCUGAGUUCUGGUUUACCAACACUCAAUAAUUUAAUCACAGCUUUGUGUACUCAUUCUGAACUCUGAAAUUGUAAUGUCAUCAUUUUUUUGCAUGUCCCAUUAAAGAUCAAAUAAUUUAAAGAUUGUGUAAUAUUGCCUUAUGACAAAGAAUCUGCUCCAGUUAUAAAUGUCUUACUAUAAUUGUAUAUUAUUACCUCCAAUACAUUUUUAAAAACUUUUCACCACUGGUGUGUUGCUAUGAACUAUUCCAAUUCUCCAACUUAUUUCUGUCUUCUUUCUUCACAGCUUGUCUGUCAACAAGCUGCUGUAGCUACAAAGACCCUGGCUACUUUUCUCUGAUGCUCCUACCUAGACCUUAUAAUUGUUGUCUUACCAGACAAGUUUAGAUCUAGUUACUCUGUCUAAUACUGUCUGGUAAUGCCGUCCAUUACAAGGUAUCUCAUCGCUCUUCUUCUGUCAGUUUCUUGGACAAUCUGUACAAAUCAACUGGUAUCCGGUCAUGUGAUGUCUUUUUCCCUCAAUGGCUUUUUCCAUAACUGGCAUGACAGAUGUAAGAUUGAUUUGGAGACAGAUAUAGAGAAGGGUGAAGUGGUUAAGGGCACAGACAGUCGGCCGAGCCAGGGCUCGAAUCCCCGUCUAGGAGGAGGCAUGUGUGGUCCGGAUUUGGGAGCUUAGACCGCUACACCAGACUCCAGCACACCGAUAAGAUUUUUAUAUUAGAUUAUUGUAUAUAAAAUCCUAUUCAAUAGAGCCCAAAAGGACUGGUUCCAAAAUCUGACAGGAUUUUCAUAUUGGCCUCUAAUUAGAUCCUUGUAUUGGAAUCCUAUCGGAUGAAACACUAUACGCUAUAGUUAACUUGGCUGCUUAACACAUGGAGCACCUGUGAACAGUGGACACGUCAACUAUAAUAGCAUCAUAAGCAACCAAUAUUGAACUGCCUCCUUUUCCACUUGAGAUGCCGACCCUAUAGUGGGGAACCGCCGGCAAUGUCGAGAUAGGGAAAAUGGGGAGGGAGCACCUUCUAAGGAUGGAGGGAGGGUAGGGGUGACAGCUCUGGGGGGGAAGGAGGCAGGGGAGGAGUUACAAUCCUG
ensembl:lncRNA